ACAUGUCUGGACCUCAGUUUCUUCAACAGAGACAACAAUACCUCGCUUACGAGAUAGCUGUGAGGACACAAUGAAAUACAUAAAGAUGGUUCUAUAAACUUUCUACUGCUGCACAAAGGUUUUAUGAAAGACUACCUGGGAUAAGUAUUUGAUAUGCUGCUCUGUAUAAAAGAGAGACUCCUCCACAUUCAUCAUAUCAUGAUGUGGUCAUUUUGUCUACAAGGAGAAGAUUGCAAUGCAGGCUGGAUCAUGUACUUCUCAGAAAGAAGCCCCUUGCAGAACUAACCUGGAACCCACCAUCCCCGUAGCCUGUGUGAACACGGAACCAGGACACCCCCAAAACUCCCAACAGAUUGUACUCAGGGCUUUUCUUAUCGCCCAAGGCCAGUGGGCAUUGGCAGCUUCCCCCUCUCAGCACCUGGGACAGUGAGAGAAGGCACCUGCUGCCAUGAAGAACACAUGCUUUAAGGACAGACUUGCUGGGCACCAAGUCAUGGAAGGGCACAGUUGAGGCAGGCCCCUGCCCACCCACAGCCUCAUGAGCUGUCCUUGUCUCCACUGCUCUUCUGGUUCCUCUACAGAAUUAUCAGUAUAUUAAAGGCAGUAACCAUGUAAUAUUGUUUCCCACAAUUCCUGAUACUGACACAAAAUAAAAUCUAUUGA